rnacentral:rRNA from 1 species
CGAGAAAGCCCGCAAGGGUGAGUACAGCGGCGCACGGGUGCGUAACACGUGGGUAAUCUGCCCUGGAGCCCGGAAUAACUCCCCGAAAGGGGUGCUAAUGCCGGAUGAGCCCACGGGGUCCUUGGACCCUGAGGGAAAAGGUGGCCUCUGUAUACAAGCUAUCACUUCAGGAUGAGCCCGCGGCCCAUCAGCUCGUUGGCGGGGUAAUGGCCCACCAAGGCUACGACGGGUAGCUGGUCUGAGAGGACGAUCAGCCACACUGGAACUGAGACACGGACCAGACUCCUACGGGAGGCAGCAGUGGGGAAUCUUGCGCAAUGGGCGAAAGCCUGACGCAGCAACGCCGCGUGUGUGAUGAAGGUCUUCGGAUCGUAAAGCACUGUCGCGAGGGACG